AGAGUUUGAUCCUGGCUCAGGAUGAACGCUAGCGACAGGCUUAACACAUGCAAGUCGAGGGGCAGCAGGGGAGUAACAAUACUCCCGCUGGCGACCGGCGCACGGGUGAGUAACACGUAUGCAACCUGCCCUUGUCAGGGGGAUAAACGGGAGAAAUUCCGUCUAAUACCGCAUAAUACCUUAUGGGGACAUCCUCAUGAGGUCAAAGAUUUAUCGGACAAGGAUGGGCAUGCGUCGCAUUAGUUAGUUGGCGGUGUAACGGACCACCAAGACGACGAUGCGUAGGGGUUCUGAGAGGAAGGUCACCCACACUGGUACUGAGACACGGACCAGACUCCUACGGGAGGCAGCAGUGAGGAAUAUUGGUUAAUGGGCGGGAGCCUGAACCAGCCAAGUCGCGUGAGGGAAGACGGUCCUAAGGAUUGUAAACCUCUUUUGUCAUGGAGCAAGGACUGCCACGAGUGCAAGGGCGAGAGUACCUGAAGAAAAAAGCAUCGGCUAACUCCGUUGCCAGCAAGCCGCGGUAAUACGGAGGAAUGCGGAGCGUUAUCCGGAUUUAUUGGGUUUAAAGGGUGCGCAGGCGGACCGGAAAGUCAGCGGUAAAAUCGAGGAGCUCAACUCCUUCCAGCCGUUGAAACUGUCGGUCUAGAGUGGGCGAGAAGUAUGCGGAAUGCGUGGUGUAGCGGUGAAAUGCAUAGAUAUCACGCAGAACUCCGAUUGCGAAGGCAGCAUACCGGCGCCCAACUGACGCUCAGGCACGAAAGCGUGGGUAUCGAACAGGAUUAGAUACCCUGGUAGUCCACGCAGUAAACGAUGAAUACUAAUUGUUCGGCGCGAAUGAGCGCUGAGUGAUACAGCGAAAGCGUUAAGUAUUCCACCUGGGGAGUACGCCGGCAACGGUGAAACUCAAAGGAAUUGACGGGGGCCCGCACAAGCGGAGGAACAUGUGGUUUAAUUCGAUGAUACGCGAGGAACCUUACCCGGGCUCAAACGACAGACGGAUACUUUUGAAAGGAGGUAGCUCUUCGGAGCGUCUGUCGAGGUGCUGCAUGGUUGUCGUCAGCUCGUGCCGUGAGGUGUCGGCUUAAGUGCCAUAACGAGCGCAACCCCCAUCUACAGUUGCCAUCGAGUGAAGUCGGGCACUCUGUAGAGACUGCCGGCGCAAGCUGUGAGGAAGGCGGGGAUGACGUCAAAUCAGCACGGCCCUUACGUCCGGGGCGACACACGUGUUACAAUGGCAGGUACAGCGGGAAGCCACCUGGCGACAGGGAGCGGAACCCGAAAACCUGUCUCAGUUCGGAUUGGAGUCUGCAACUCGACUCCAUGAAGCUGGAUUCGCUAGUAAUCGCGCAUCAGCCAUGGCGCGGUGAAUACGUUCCCGGGCCUUGCACUCACCGCCCGUCA
rnacentral:rRNA from 1 species